rnacentral:tRNA from 1 species
GCCUGGAUGGCUCAGUUGGUUCAGCGUCUGACUUCGGCUCAGGUCACGAUCUCACGGUUCGUGGGUUCGAGCCCCGCGUCGGGCU